rnacentral:misc_RNA from 1 species
GAAAUGCGAUAAGUAAUGUGAAUUGCAGAAUUCAGUGAAUCAUCGAAUCUUUGAACACAUCUUGCGCUCCUUGGUAUUCCUUGGAGCAUGCCUGUUUGAGUAUCAUGAAAUCUUCAAAGUAAAUCUUUUGUUAACUCAAUUGGUUUCUACUUUGGUAUUGGAGGUCUUUGCAGCUUCACACCUGCUCCUCUUUGUUCAUUAGCUGGAUCUCAGUGUUAUGCUUGGUUCCACUCGGCGUGAUAAGUUAUCUAUCGCUGAGGACACUGUAAAAGGUGGCCAAGGUAAAUGCAGAUGAACCGCUUCUAAUAGUCCAUUGACUUGGACAAUACUUUUAUGAUCUGAUCUCAAAUCAGGUAGGACUACCCGCUGAACUUAAGC